rnacentral:rRNA from 1 species
UACGAAGGGGGCUAGCGUUGCUCGGAAUCACUGGGCGUAAAGCGCACGUAGGCGGCUUUCUAAGUCAGGGGUGAAAUCCUGAAGCUCAACUCCAGAACUGCCUUUGAUACUGGAGAGCUUGAGUCCGGAAGAGGUGAGUGGAACUCCGAGUGUAGAGGUGAAAUUCGUAGAUAUUCGGAAGAACACCAGUGGCGAAGGCGGCUCACUGGUCCGGUACUGACGCUGAUGUGCGAAAGCGUGGGGAGCAAACAGG